GCCGCUGUGGCUCAGAGGUAGAGCAAUUCACUCGUAAUGAAUAGGUCGUGAGUUCGAUUCUCACCAGCGGCUCCA
rnacentral:tRNA from 1 species